UUUUUUUUUUUUUUUUUUUUCAGGAAUAUUUGUUUAGUCUUACAAUACUUCAGGUUACUUCUCUUAAUAGCUAUCUAUGAAAAGCACUAAAGGAGUCUAAGUGAAAAAGUCCUUUGUCUUCCGUCCCAAAUCAAUCAAUCGAUUGGAAGGCAAAAACGAAAAAAGUUCCAAAACGAGCUUUUUA
rnacentral:ribozyme from 17 species